GAUGAACGCUGGCGGCGUGCCUAAUACAUGCAAGUAGAACGCUGAAGGAAGGAGCUUGCUCUUUCCGGAUGAGUUGCGAACGGGUGAGUAACGCGUAGGUAACCUGCCUGGUAGCGGGGGAUAACUAUUGGAAACGAUAGCUAAUACCGCAUAACAGUAGAUGUUGCAUGAUUUCUACUUAAAAGGUGCAAUUGCACCACUACCAGAUGGACCUGCGUUGUAUUAGCUAGUUGGUGAGGUAACGGCUCACCAAGGCGACGAUACAUAGCCGACCUGAGAGGGUGGUCGGCCAAACUGGGACUGAGACACGGCCCAGACUCCUACGGGAGGCAGCAGGAGGGGAUCUUCGGCAAUGGACGGAAGUCUGACCGAGCAACGCCGGGUGGGGGAAGAAGGUUUUCGGAUCGUAAAGCUCUGUUGUAAGAGAAGGAAGAGUGUGAGAGUGGAAAGUUCACACUGUGACGGUAUCUUACCAGAAAGGGACGGCUAACUACGUG
rnacentral:rRNA from 1 species